UUAUUUUAUGGGGUGACGUCCAAUCUUGACUUUUUUUUCACUCGAAUUUUUCUUUUGAGUAUCACAAUAAUGCAUGAGUCUAUGACCUAGGCAAGUGCUUAUACUUCAUUUCUAUUUUUUUCAUUUCUUUUCUCUUUUUUUUUCCCGGUAGAAGCGGAUGUUUCUACACAAUUUUUCUUUUCAUUUUGUUGCACUUGCCCCUUUUCCAAAAUUUCUUCUAAGGAUUACCACUCCAAACUUAUCUUUUUGCAUAAAUUUUACACUACAACAAUCAUGCCGAGCGAGGGUAGGAAGUGUUUGGCUUAUGGUUAACAUGACGGUUUACACAAACAAGGGGGUACAGGCUCAACGAGGUUAACAACGAAUAAAUACAACAUUAUGG
rnacentral:lncRNA from 1 species